rnacentral:rRNA from 1 species
UAAUACGUAGGUGGCGAGCGUUAUCCGGAUUUACUGGGCGUAAAGAGAGCGUAGGCGGCUUGAUAAGUCGGAUGUAAAAUCUCCCGGCUCAACCGGGAGGGAUUAUCCGAUACUGUUAGGCUAGAGGGCAGCAGGAGGAGGUGGAAUUCCCGGUGUAGUGGUGAAAUGCGUAGAUAUCGGGAGGAACACCAGUGGCGAAGGCGGCCUCCUAGGCUGUUUCUGACGCUGAGGCUCGAAAGUGUGGGUAGCGAACAGGAUUAGAUACCCUGGUAGUCCACACUGUCAACGAUGGACACUAGGUGUAGGGAGUAUCGACCCUCUCUGUGUCGAAGCUAACGCUUUAAGUGUCCCGCCUGGGGACUACGGCCGCAAGGCUA